rnacentral:rRNA from 1 species
CGGAUAAACGUUUGCGGCGUGCCUGAUGCAUGCAAGUCGAACGAUCUGGUUUUCGCAAGAUUGACCAGGGAGUGGCGAACGGCUGAGUAACGCGUAAGUAACCUACCCUUAAGUGGGGGAUAACUUGCCGAAAGGCAGGCUAAUACCGCAUGUGCUAGUAAGCGUUAGUUUAUUAGUAAAGCUUUAGUGCUUGAGGAGGGGCUUGCGUCUGAUUAGCUAGUUGGUAGGGUAAUGGCCUACCAAGGCGAUGAUCAGUAGCUGGUCUGAGAGGACAACCAGCCAGACGGGGACUGAGAUACGGCCCUGACUCCUACGGGAGGCAGCAGUGAGGAAUAUUGGACAAUGGAUGGAAAUCUGAUCCAGCCAUGCCGCGUGCAGGAAGACGGCCCUAUGGGUUGUAAACUGCUUUUAUAUGGGAGCAAUAAGGUUUACGCGUAGACCGAUGAGAGUACCAUAUGAAUAAGCAUCGGCUAACUCCGUG